GACGAACGCUGGCGGCGUGCCUAAUACAUGCGAGUUGAGCGCUGAAGGUUGGUACUUGUACCAACUGGAUGAGCAGCGAACGGGUGAGUAACGCGUGGGGAAUCUGCCUUUGAGCGGGGGACAACAUUUGGAAACGAAUGCUAAUACCGCAUAAAAACUUUAAACACAAGUUUUAAGUUUGAAAGAUGCAAUUGCAUCACUCAAAGAUGAUCCCGCGUUGUAUUAGCUAGUUGGUGAGGUAAAGGCUCACCAAGGCGAUGAUACGUAGCCGACCUGAGAGGGUGAUCGGCCACAUUGGGACUGAGACACGGCCCAAACUCCUACGGGAGGCAGCAGUAGGGAAUCUUCGGCAAUGGACGAAAGUCUGACCGAGCAACGCCGCGUGAGUGAAGAAGGUUUUCGGAUCGUAAAACUCUGUUGGUAGAGAAGAACGUUGGUGAGAGUGGAAAGCUCAUCAAGUGACGGUAACUACCCAGAAAGGGACGGCUAACUACGUG
rnacentral:rRNA from 1 species